CCUACGGGAGGCUGCAGUGGGGAAUAUUGGACAAUGGGCGAAAGCCUGAUCCAGCCAUGCCGCGUGUGUGAAGAAGGCCUUCGGGUUGUAAAGCACUUUCAGUGGGGAAGAAAGCCUUGGGGCUAAUACCCUCGAGGAAGGACAUCACCCACAGAAGAAGCACCGGCUAACUCCGUGCCAGCAGCCGCGGUAAUACGGAGAGUGCGAGCGUUAAUCGGAAUUACUGGGCGUAAAGCGCGCGUAGGCGGUCUGAUAAGCCGGUUGUGAAAGCCCCGGGCUCAACCUGGGAACGGCAUCCGGAACUGUCAGGCUAGAGUGCAGGAGAGGAAGGUAGAAUUCCCGGUGUAGCGGUGAAAUGCGUAGAGAUCGGGAGGAAUACCAGUGGCGAAGGCGGCCUUCUGGACUGACACUGACGCUGAGGUGCGAAAGCGUGGGUAGCAAACAGGAUUAGAUACCCCGGUAGUC
rnacentral:rRNA from 1 species